CUGCCGGUCGACCAUGCCUGCUACGGUGAUCGACGGCGUGCACCAUACUUAAGGCCGUUUAAGGAUUUUGCGCCAGUGAUCCGGCUGCUGUGCUUGUGCAUCUGCUUAGUUUAUAAAGUGCAGAUAUGGAAUUUAUUAGUGUGUAGUGUAGAAUUACUACUAGAUAGAACUGCUGGAGUUGGAUUUUGAGUGAAAGUUCACCGAGUGCUCUGCUCUCCAAUGUGAUAACAGAGUAGUGAAAUAAUUAGAUUAAGUGCUCUGCUCUCUGGUGUGGAAAGAAAAUAGUGAAGCCCAAUAAAUAAAUUGAAGGUGCAAGAGAUUGAGCGCGUCAGGCUAGCUAGAUUGGUCUCUCCUGAACCUUCACACUUGCGAAUAGAAACUCUGAAGUCUUAAGCUCUGCUCCACCUGUCAGUUGCUUUCAGUCAGCCUGUCAGUGAU
rnacentral:lncRNA from 1 species